GUGCAUCAAGAAAGCAUCCAUCUCUCGGUAGAGAACCAUAGCCAGCUUCCUUCAUCCAUGGCGCUACUCAAGAUAAGCAUCAAGAGUACACUGGUUGUUUUCACCGUCACAUGGCUGCUGAUGACACUCCUUGCUACGGCCGUGCCAUCAGCUGGCAACCAGGAAGCGGAGAACCAAGCGGUCUGCGCCCAAGUGAAAGGCACCUGUACACAGAAGGUGUGUGGCGGAAUGUGUGCUGAGAUAGGCUCCAAAGGUGUUGGGUCAUGCAAGUUGAAUGGCAAGGUCUCCUACUGCUGCUGCCAACCAAAAUCCCCCACAAACAUCGGUGUCCACUAGCUAGUAGCUAGGAACCAGUUAAUUUGGUUUUUGAUCCAUAGUAUGGCUGUUAAAUUGACAUUUUUCAUUAAUAAUAAACGAAACGUGUGGUGCGUGAUUGAUCAAUAAAUGUGUGGCACCAGGAA
rnacentral:lncRNA from 7 species